rnacentral:rRNA from 1 species
CACCUACGGGUGGCAGCAGUGGGGAAUUUUGGACAAUGGGGGCAACCCUGAUCCAGCCAUGCCGCGUGAGUGAAGAAGGCCUUCGGGUUGUAAAGCUCUUUCGGCCGGGAGGAAAUCGCAUAGGUUAAUACCCUGUGUGGAUGACAGUACCGGAAUAAGAAGCACCGGCUAACUACGUGCCAGCAGCCGCGGUAAUACGUAGGGUGCGAGCGUUAAUCGGAAUUACUGGGCGUAAAGCGUGCGCAGGCGGUUUUUUAAGACAGGCGUGAAAUCCCCGGGCUCAACCUGGGAACUGCGCUUGUGACUGGAAGGCUAGAGUAUGGCAGAGGGGGGUGGAAUUCCACGUGUAGCAGUGAAAUGCGUAGAGAUGUGGAGGAACACCGAUGGCGAAGGCAGCCCCCUGGGCCAAUACUGACGCUCAUGCACGAAAGCGUGGGGAGCAAACAGGAUUAGAUACCCUGGUAGUCCACGCCCUAAACGAUGUCAACUAGGUGUUGGGUGGGUAAAACCAUUUAGUACCGGAGCUAACGCGUGAAGUUGACCGCCUGGGGAGUACGGCCGCAAGGUUAAAACUCAAAGGAAUUGACGGGGACCCGCACAAGCGGUGGAUGAUGUGGAUUAAUUCGAUGCAACGCG